rnacentral:lncRNA from 1 species
AGACGGCCAGCCGGGCCGCGCCAGGGACAUACUGGAGACAGGAAGUGGCUGAGAGGGGGAGAGAGUUGGAGAGAGACGGCCGCGGAGGACACGGGGACGGGAAAGUCUGAGAGACGGGGAGAGCCUGACCCGGCGGGACACAGGCAGAAAGAAACACGCGAGCCAGACAGACGCAGAAGAAACGGUGGGCGUAGGUCUAGAAGGGACUAGGAACAAGGGGACAGGGAACUGCCGCGCAGCGUCAGCCUCUUACCCUCCCCACAGGAGUGUGCCUGGGCUUGGGCCUGACCUGAGAGGACCACCCGUGGCUUAGCCUGGUGGUGCUAGCGUCCCCUACCCAGGCGGGCGCCUGAAUCAGGUGAAGACACCUGGUGUUACUUUUGGCCCAAGUCAUUGGACACCCUUCCCUGGUCCUCUGCCCCACAGGAGACUUCUCCUGGGCUAGUAUUCUCAAAGGAUUCACAGCUGGGGACCUUUCCGUCAGGCUCAAGCCCCCAUCUCCACCCGCAAGCAGCUCCAGCCAUCCCAUCCACUGCCCUGCUUUAUUCAUUGAGACGGGAGUCUGUCUCUGUCGCCCAGGCUGGAGUGCAGUGGCGCCAUCUCGGCUCACUGCAACCUCUGCCUCCCAGGCUCAAGCGAUCCUCCCACCUCAGCCUCCCGAGUAGCUGGGACUACAAGAUGGGCGCCGCCACGCCCAGCUAAUUUUUUGUAGAGAUGGGUUUUCGCCAUGUUGCCCAGGCUGGUCUCCAAUUCUUGAGCUCAAGCGAUUUCCCCUUCUUGGCCUCCCAAAGUGCUGGGAUUACAGACGUGAGCCACCGUGCCCGGCCCAUUGCCCUAUUUUAAAGAGCUGGACCGUCAUUCCCAGUUCGCAGGAGACCUCUGAGAAGGUCUUCCUUACAUUUAACUUGAGUCCAGCCUUUCCAAAUGGAGAUGGAAGUUCUUUCUAUGGUCUGACCUCAUUCCCUUCUUUUGCAGUGCCUGGUACUGGAUAGGAACUUCAUGGAAUGGAGCUAAUGGGCCGUAGGGCAGGUUUGAGUCGUGCCACCCUGGAGCAGAAGGUGGAGGGUAGGGAUAAGGGGGUGGAGCACCUGAUUCCAAUCUUGCCACAGGGAAGAAGAGUCUGUGAAGAACAUUCCUUAGGGUCUUUGGCUGGGCUCUGGGAUGGAUGCCAUGGGAGUACCUUUACUUAAGCUCUAAAGUUACCAAUGGAGAGACUGGGACUCAAAGAGGAACUUGAUUGGACCCCAGAGAGACCUCAUUAUUGCACAGCUGAGAGUGGCUUGAAACAAAGGCUUGGAGAAUGUGAGUGAAACUGAUUCCUGUGGUGGAGAGGCAGUGAAAAAGCAUUACCUUGUAGGUUUCCAGGCAGCCUGGACAAUAGGGGCACCUAAACCCACAUUGAAAAGCCUUCACAUCAUCACAGCUGAGUCUCAUAGCCUUCAACUUUACCAGUUUUGGAGAACAGAGAUAAAUGCACUGGCCAGAAACUAGAAGAGCAGCUGCUCCAAUUGGCUGGGAAAUCAUUUAACUGGCUCCUCAUCUUGGCUCUUAAAUCCCCAAAAUUGUUGACUGAGGUUUCCCGGGCUCCUUUCUAUGCUCCACCUCCUUGUGACCUUAAGGAUUCUCUGCCACUGUCCUAACCCCUUUCCCGCCUUGCAACAAUGACCAGUCUGUCCCUAGCUGUUUGGA